rnacentral:rRNA from 1 species
GAUGAACGCUGGCGGCGUGCCUAAUACAUGCAAGUCGAGCGAACAGACGAGGAGCUUGCUCCUCUGACGUUAGCGGCGGACGGGGGGGUAACCGGUGGAUACCUACCUAUUAGACCGGGGUAAAUUUCGGAAACCGGGGCCAAUUACGGGAUAAUAAUUUAACCGGCUGGGUUCAUUGGUAAAAGAGGGUUUGCCGGUCAGUAUAAGAUGAACCCGGCCGCAUUAGCUAGUUGGUUAGGUAACCGCUUACCCAGGGAACCGUGCGUAGCCGGCCUGAGAGGGUGAUCGGCCACACUGGAACUGAGACACGGUCCAGACUCCUACGGGAGGCCGCAGUAGGGAAUCUUCCGCAAUGGGCGAAAGCCUGACGGAGCAACGCCGCGUGAGUGAUGAAGGUCUUCGGAUCGUAAAACUCUGUUAUUAGGGAAGAACAAAUGUGUAAGUAACUAUGCACGUCUUGACGGUACCUAAUCAGAAAGCCACGGCUAACUACGUG